rnacentral:misc_RNA from 1 species
CUGAUAGGAAAUAUUUUCCUAAUCUAAAUCCCCUUGCAUAUUGUUUGUAGACAUGUUGCUUCCACUGGACAGACUUGAUGGGAAAAAUUCCUUUAAGAGUCCUUUAGCUUAUACAGUCUGUAUUUGCUGCGGAGUUGCCAGUGGGUAAUUUUUCUCCUAAAAAUUUUUGAAUUUACAAAUUGUCUGAUAAUGUUCUUAAAAAAAA